rnacentral:rRNA from 1 species
UACGAAGGGGGCUAGCGUUGUUCGGAAUUACUGGGCGUAAAGCGCGUGUAGGCGGGUCUUAAGUCAGGGGUGAAAUGCCAAGGCUCAACCUUGGAACUGCCUUUGAUACUGGAGAUCUUGAGUCCGGGAGAGGUGAGUGGAAUUGCGAGUGUAGAGGUGAAAUUCGUAGAUAUUCGCAAGAACACCAGUGGCGAAGGCGGCUCACUGGCCCGGAACUGGACGCUGAGACGGCGAAAGCGUGGGGAGCAAACAGGG